AAAUAGGGGUUCACUGUAUUUUCGUACCCUUUCUUUGGUUUCUUUUUCUUUUUUUUUCUUCUUCUUUCUUCUUCUUCUCCUCAAAUUCUUCUUAGAUUUCUUCUAGUCUACAAGAUUUAAAGUGGUUGUUUGUCCAUGAAAAAGGAGAAAAAUAGUCGACCAAAAAGUCUAAGAAUG
rnacentral:ribozyme from 11 species